rnacentral:rRNA from 1 species
UACGUAGGGUGCAAGCGUUAAUCGGAAUUACUGGGCGUAAAGCGUGCGCAGGCGGUUUUGUAAGUCUGACGUGAAAUCCCCGGGCUCAACCUGGGAAUUGCGUUGGAGACUGCAAGGCUAGAAUCUGGCAGAGGGGGGUAGAAUUCCACGUGUAGCAGUGAAAUGCGUAGAGAUGUGGAGGAACACCGAUGGCGAAGGCAGCUCCCUGGGUUAAGAUUGACGCUCAUGCACGAAAGCGUGGGGAGCAAACAGG